rnacentral:sRNA from 1 species
UAAAAAGUGUCGCUCCAAAUCAAAACUUAUCUCCGUAACACUUGCGAAAUGGUUAAGAUAGGAAAUAUUCUGCUUUUCAAAUUUCAGUUUGUGGGGCGAAAUUAAAGGAAGUAGAAGAAUAGAAGAAUAUAAACCAUAUCCUUUUUUAAAUAAGUAUCCACGAUUUCUCCCCAGUUUAGAAAUUAUUCCUU